UACGGAGGGUGCAAGCGUUGUUCGGAAUUACUGGGCGUAAAGCGCGCGUAGGCGGCUCUUUAAGUCUCACUGUGAAAGACCGGGGCUCAACCCCGUGCGAGCAGGGGAUACUGGAGGGCUAGAGACCGGUAGAGGCCAGCGGAAUUUCGGGUGUAGCGGUGGAAUGCGUAGAGAUCCGGAAGAACACCGGAGGCGAAGGCGGCUGGCUGGGCCUGAUCUGACGCUGAGGUGCGAAAGCGUGGGGAGCGAACAGG
rnacentral:rRNA from 1 species